UCUGUUGCCAUCAGCGCAUUGGAAGCUGGAUGUCUUGGCCAUCCUAAAGUUGGGACCCGCCCAGAUCCCUCCUACUCCAGUGGUGGGCUGUAAGCGUCCACAUCUGUGCGCGUUCACUUUUUAGGGAUUUUUUUUUCUGUUCUUUACACCGAAAUAGAAAAUAUACUACAUCCACAUAGACAGUAGGGAUAUAUUCCACCAUUUGCUUCAGAGCUAUGAAAAGUAAAACAUUCUAUAAAACCUACCCAACAGUGAUAUGACCUGUACUUUCAUGCCAUUUACAUCAUGGCCUUAAGGUUAAGUUGUGAUUUUCUCUUUUACAUUUGAUUUUAAUAUUGUUUGGACACUGAACAAUGUGCAGCCUGUAAAAUGUUUCAGCGUAGUAAAGACGCGUCCGUUGCGGUCCAGAUGUUUGACUCACUAGCAUAAGAAAGAGAAAAGGUUCACAUUGUUUAUUAUUCACAUUUUAUAAACAUUUUGGCCAUAAUAAAAGCAUUUAACGGAGAGCAUGCGCCUCAGAGUCGAAACCACCCGCCUGAUUUCUGUAAAAGAUAGACAGGACCAUGGGCAGGAUGUUUAUACUGCACAAUGUAAACAUUUUCCCUGAGCGUCUUUAAAUAAAAAAUCAAGCAAAAGCCCCGUUAGAUCAGCUAAUACUCAAUCUGAUGCGAAAUGUCCGUCUGCUCACAGCGUCCUGCGCGGACGCUGGACGUUUUUUACGCAUCGAUAUUGUUUGGGCAAUGCAGUCAUAAUAUUUACGCAGGGACGCACGAGGAGAGAGGUGGAAACUCUGCCGAGCCGUGAGCGCAGAAACUCGGCUGCGGGACUUGAGACCGGCUCCCGCAGGCAGCGCGCCUCGGAAACAAAAUCAGGAAUCUGCUUCGCCUCCGCUCCGUGCUCCACUGUGGCCUUUAUAGGAUGAUCCAGUCCCACACAGUGAGUGGGAGCGUGUUCGGUGCCCCACCCUGCAGCCCUGCACACCUCCCAGGGCCAGUCCAUCACGGCCCGUCUGAUGCCGGGAGAGACAUCAAUAACAAGAGCUGAGGCAGAAACCACAGCGGAGCGCACAGAGGAGAGAGGGAGCGCCGACGUGGGCCGCAGGCCGCUCCGCUGCAGGCUGGAGUGGGCAGGCGUGCGGCUCUGGCCACAGGAAGCUGUGAAUUCUUUGGAGAAUGGAAGAUGUCUUAUGGGGAGACGUACUGGGCCCCCCACCCACCCACUUACCCACCCACUCACCGACCCGCCGUGACCCCUGACCCUCGCGUGUGUUUAUAUCAGACCGUGGAAGUGAGAAACAGUGAUGAGUCACUCCGGCUGUGUGUUUACACUCCGGAGUCACGCAAGGAAGGAAAUCAGCCACGGUCUGCUAGACGUGGCGAGGUGAGGGAGAAUGGCUGCAGUCCCCGGCCUCGCAGCCAUUUGCCUCUGAGAGCCACCAUUCGUUUCACGCCAUCUCCGCUGCGCAGGUUUUCGGCCCGACGGAGAACGGCCACAUCAGCAGCACAGCGGGCAAAACACGCGGUCUUUACUGAGGAGCGGCUCACGUGUGCGUCCAGCGUCACCGCACUGAUGAAUGUGUUUCAUUCCCACAAUAAUAAUGACUGUUCACAUUCAGUCGCUUUCUAAAUUAACUCUUUUCUUAAGGAUUAUGUGUUAUAAAUAUUAUAUAUAUUAUAUGUUAUACUUAAAUGUUUUGCAUUUUAAAACAAAACUGAAAUGACUGAAACUGGAGCUACACAAUUUGCUGUGAACUAUUAUUAACCUAUUUUUUUUGAGUGUUUUUUUUUAAAACAAAGUUCAUUAUUUCAUUCAUUGAAUUCAAGUUAAUGUUUUCCUGCAAAAAAAGACAAAACAAUUCAGAUGCCAUAUUUUUAUUAGCUAGUUUAAUAUAGUCUGACAUUAUCAGAGAUGAAGUUCAUAAAUAAAUAAAUAUAGCAGUUAAAUCUGUCUUGUGUGGUUAUAAUAAUCAAUUACUUUAUUUGAGGUUGUGACAUUGUGUUCUAUAAAUGGGUGGAUUUUAUGUAAGUGUGCCAGCAGAAGUAAGAAAUUAGUUUUAAUGAUGAUGACAUCAGAUUGAAGAGGUAAACAUGUCUUUACACAGGCUUCACCCAUGAAACUGUCUUGGCAUAAUUUCAGCAUAUUAAUUCUAAAUCUGAGCAUCAACUUCCACUCAUUUUGUCGUCAGACAACUUAGUGAUUUUUUUUGUGAUUCCUUCACAUUAGCACCACUCACUAUAGUUUCUAUAGCGUAAAGGUCUGUUUACUGUGGCUUCACACACGCUGUCAUUUGUUCCCUGAACGCGGGACGACUUCAUGCUCCAGGUUGCACAACCGUUGUUUUCCAGCGACAGCUGCAGUUACAGCUCUCUGUAAAUAAAAGUGACACUUUAUUUCUUUGCAUCAUUUCACUGGUGCAAGUAACUUCACUGCUGACUGUAGUGAGUAUCCUGUUACACACCCCCGUACGCUUUGCCACAAUGAAAGAGUCCGCGGCUCUCAUUUUGGCCGAUCUCUCCUGAAUUGUAAGUCCUGUCAGGGGGUUUGAUUGAUAGUUGUGUUUAUCACCAUAUUAUUAAGUAAUCAGGCUCACCACAGCUGGGCCAGAAGCUCCUUAAUUCCAGCAAAAGCACACGGCUUCAUGCUAAUUAAAGGUUUGGUAAGAGUGUUUAUUUUUGUGAUUUUUUUAAAAAAUAUAGUUGUCUGUGUUUUUAUGCGAGCGCACUGAUUGUUGCAUUCGCAUCCUCCCUGGAACGUUGAAUGCCAACCCGUGGUGUCAUACCUUCAUCAAGAGGGUCACGGACUUUGGAGAGAGACUCAAAAACCAAAAAUCAGCCCCCUGCCUCCGAGUACAGUAUAAUGCCAUGUACAUUAAGGUGAAGCCUGCAAAUGGCGUGUCUGUGUAUAACACAGGGGGUCAGUCGGCGCGUAUCAGCAGAGGUUUCUUGCUUGGCUAAUAGAGCCUGCGGCGGGCUGCGUUUGUGUAUCGCUGAGGUAAACACAGUCAUGGCAAAGUGGACAUGCUGCUGAGUGUGUCCUGACUGGAGACAGAGAGCACUGUGGCACUGAACGGCCUGAGACACUGGCAGCUCUCUGGAGGCAGGGUUAAUGUGAUGAAUGGCCAUUUGGUAAUGGGCCAUGUAUUAGGGUGAAAACGCUCUUUCUAAAAGCUUGAGCCGGAGCCAUUGCUAUGGGCAAUUUGAUUCAGGAAUCAAUCAGGUGGCAGAUGUUUCGUGUUGGAUCACACCACCUUGUCCUGCUCUCCCGUUUUUCUGUUUGAAGGCAGAGCUGCUUGAAUAACCGCGUGGAGCAAUCAAACGAAAAUAUAACUUCAGCGCAAUCAAAAGCAGUGAUACAGUAUUGUUUGAAAAUCUGACCACAUCUGGCCGUUUGUAUACAAAACCUGAUUGAUCCAAGGUGAAAAAGGUGAAAAAUUAGGCCGGCUGCCAUCGGACUGCACAAACUCAAAGUGCCAGCGAGAGCUGUACUGUACGAAUCCUUGUAGGGCUGAUUUACUCAGUGCUCACAAGCAGGACUUCAACUCAAGUCUGGGACUUUUUUAUUUACAUAAUGAAACAUUUCAAAUAAAAUAUGUCAAUUUAUUUAUAUCCAAAAAAGAUCUUUGGAUGCUACAAUGCAGAUGUUAUUGUAUUUAUUUAUAUUUAUUUAAAAUAUGUAAUGCUUUAAUCCACUACUGAUGUUUGGUUUUGGAUGAUUUUUUUAUUUUUUAUUAAUAAAUUUCCUCAUGGUUUUACUUUGUUUGGAUGAAUCACGAACUUGGUUUUUGUGGCUCGACUGCAGGUCAGAACAAUAUUUGAUCUCUAUCUAUUUAAUAAUGAUCAUUGCAUACACAAAUUCUUUUAUGUGUGAAAGUCCUUUGUGGGAGUUAAAUUUAGCUUCAAAGUUUAGUUCUGUGAAAAUUCCAGCACUUGAGGACCUUAUGAUGAGUUGCGAUGCUUUUCUGUGGUGGUGUGACGGCUCAUAGAAUAAACACU